rnacentral:lncRNA from 1 species
CAAUGACCCGGGUCCAAGGCCAUCCACGGUGACUCUGGUGUCUGUUGUGUUUCGAGUCUCUGUUCUGCCACCAUCUCCAGUGCACUGAACGCAGUAGGUGGAGUUCUGUGGGUCUGGGCCGUCGGGGACCUCCCAGGUCAGGGCGAUGGAGCUGUUGGUCUGAGCCUCCACUCUCAGGUUCCUCACUGGGUUGGGAGCUG